rfam:Blastomyces dermatitidis ER-3 genomic scaffold supercont1.5, whole genome shotgun sequence.
ACAUACGACCAUAGGGAGUGGAAAGCAGGGCUUCCCGUCCGCUCAGCCGUACUUAAGCCACUCGCCGGCCGGUUAGUAGUUGGGUGGGUGACCACCAGCGAAUCCCGGCUGUUGUAUGUU